rnacentral:lncRNA from 1 species
GUAAUUGAGUGGGUGUGCAGGUGAGAGUUUCCACUUAAUAGGUUGCCUCUCCUGUGCUGUCACUAGGAAGAACAGAGGGUAGUGACACUGGGAGAAAAGGAGAGCGGAGAGACGGAGAGAGAGAGAGGCUCUACACAUCAUCCGCAGCUGAUACAGACAGUUUCAUCCUCAGACUUUUGCUCAACGCUACACACGGACUGGACUAAGGGCUCCUACUCCCUCCAGAAGACUAUGGCCUCAACUGCUUUUUUUAAAGACACAGGCCUCCUGCUCUUCUUACUACUGGGACUGCAGCCAUCGUCAUUUGUUUCAGGACAAAACACAAACUCAAGUUCCAAUUCAACGACCAAUGCUUCAUCAACUGUGAUGUCAACUGGCAUGAGUACUGACUCUGCAGCAACUAUCGUGACAGCUACCACAGCUCAAACUACAAUGUCGUCUGCCAUUUCUUCUACGAAUACUACAAUGUCUUCUGCAGGGUUGGGUAGUGGAACCACAAGCACGGACAAUACCACUUCAUGGGGCACCAGUGGCAUGACCAUGCUUCAGAGGCAUCACCCAAGUGGGUGCUACUCGUUAGUUGUGGAGGAGGACUAAGUCCAGGCUACAGAGAUGUUGAGCUGAGGACGACAUCAGGGCCAGCAAGCCAACUGCAUCAUCUGGCAUUGAUCAUCUGGCAUCACCAUCAUCAAAUCAUCUAGCCUAACUCCAGUGGUUUGUCAGAAGCCCCAGUCUCUGUCAUAAGCGGGUACACUCUGUUGUGACGGAACUCUCAGAGCUGGCUUCAUCACCAUCAACAUCAAUUUCUUUGUUUUAUUAAUCUACCUAAUUGUUAUGUCAAUUUACAUUUUUCCUUUUUAUCUGUUGACCUAUUCUGCAAUUCAGCUUUUAGCUGCAAAUGUAUAGCCUGCAAGAUUAAAUGAACCAAUGAAACAAUAUAGCCUUCAUAUACUGUCUAACAAUGUAUCCCACUCAUUAUCUAAAUUUCAUUGAUACACUGUAACCUGAUUCAUUUUCUCCAGCAGAGAAACAGGUCAUACUGUAUCAGUUGACAAGUCACAUAGAAAAGGUGAUCUUGUACAAUGUUGCAUGGGGCAGAAAUGGGCAUUCACACACAGUGCUACACAAAUACCUUUUUACUGUAGGCUGCUGUUUUACAAUACGUUCUACCCUGAUAUCUGAUUAUUUAUUUUACUUAUGUACAGUAUAAGGAUACUGCAACUGAUAAAAAAAUUGGUUUCCCAUAAACUUUGCCGUCAAGUUAUAGCUAAACACUCUAUGGAAAAUGGUACUUACCAUUAUUUACCGUCUACCAUCUACUAAAAAGAACAGCUUUGAAAAUUGUAUCUAGUAUUUUUUGCUGUUGGAUUAAAUGUUAGUUAAAAUGACUUAACGGUGAGUCUGUCAUUAUCUGAUGUAUAGGUGACUAAAGGAAAUGUUCUUAUGGUAUUUCAUGAAAAACUUUUGCAUGUAUGACUCAGAGGUUAAAUAUGUAUUCAACUCCAAUGAAUGCACAAUGAAAGGUUCUGAACAUAAGAUAAUGGGUAUUACUCAGUGUUUUGAAAAUACACCCCCUUACAUCUGAAAAUGUGCC